rnacentral:rRNA from 1 species
UACGUAGGGGGCUAGCGUUGUCCGGAUUUAUUGGGCGUAAAGAGCGUGUAGGCGGCCAGGUAGGUCUGGUGUGAAAACUCGAGGCUUAACCUCGAGAUGUCAUCGGAAACCAUCUGGCUAGAGUCCGGAAGAGGAGAGUGGAAUUCCUGGUGUAGCGGUGAAAUGCGCAGAUAUCAGGAGGAACACCGGUGGCGAAGGCGGGAUCCUGGGCCAGUACUGACGCUGAGGAGCGAAAGCGUGGGGAGCGAACAGG